UACAUUGUUUGUCCUUCACGGUUCUCCGUAAUCUAAGUCUACGUGAACGUGAAUGAGGACGAGGUCAUCACGAUCACGUAUGGGAAAAAAUACAAAAAGCAAAUGCACGAGGCAAUUCUUCAAGGAACGACUAGCAUAAGCUGUAUGUUCACAAAUUUACACAAUAAUUUCCAGUGAGCGUGACUUGGUACCAGGAGUGAAAGAUUCUUGUCACGCUCCCAGUUCAUCAAAAUGUAAACUUUGAGACCGGUUUGAAACUCACGGGAAAGUGAGUCGAUAGCAAUUGGCGGACUUUCAAACAACAAUUUGAACUGUUCAUGGCGGCAAUCGAGUUAGGCAAGAAACCUGACUCAAUAAAGAUAGCGCUGCUGCUCACAGUAGCUGGUCCGCAAGGCAUUUAAGUGUUCAAUGCUUUUGAAUUUGGAGAUAAGGACAGGAACACAUUUGAUAAGGGAUCAUCUUAAAACCAAGAGUUAGGAGACCAUACAUUUCUGUCACAGAAUGCCAGAGACUGUCAGCAGCUGUCAGCCUGGGAUGAAGCUUCUGGAUCACUCCUCUGUGCAGCUCCACAGCAUCUCUGUCCAGCUUUAGCCUGGAGAGGGCUGACAUCAGUUAGACCCUCCAACUGUUGUCCCAUGUCUGAAGGAGGUACCGCACAAAAUGAAUGAGUAAAUAAAGUUGAUACUCGAACAGGA